AAUGGGCGGAAGCCUGAUGCAGCGACGCCGCGUGAGGGAUGACGGCCUUCGGGUUGUAAACCUCUUUCAGUAGGGAAGAAGCGAGAGUGACGGUACCUGCAGAAGAAGCGCCGGCUAACUACGUGCCAGCAGCCGCGGUAAUACGUAGGGCGCAAGCGUUGUCCGGAAUUAUUGGGCGUAAAGAGCUCGUAGGCGGUUUGUCGCGUCUGCUGUGAAAGCCCGGGGCUCAACCCCGGGUCUGCAGUGGGUACGGGCAGACUAGAGUGCAGUAGGGGAGACUGGAAUUCCUGGUGUAGCGGUGAAAUGCGCAGAUAUCAGGAGGAACACCGAUGGCGAAGGCAGGUCUCUGGGCUGUUACUGACGCUGAGGAGCGAAAGCAUGGGGAGCGAACAGGAUUAGAUACCCUGGUAGUCCAUGCCGUAAACGUUGGGCACUAGGUGUGGGGGACAUUCCACGUUUUCCGCGCCGUAGCUAACGCAUUAAGUGCCCCGCCUGGGGAGUACGGCCGCAAGGCUAAAACUCAAAGGAAUUGACGGGG
rnacentral:rRNA from 1 species